AGAGUUUGAUCCUGGCUCAGAAUCAACGCUGGCGGCGUGCCUAACACAUGCAAGUCGAACGAGAAAGUUAUCUUCGGAUAGCGAGUAAAGUGGCAAACGGGUGAGUAACGCGUGGGAUAUCUACCCUGAUGAGGGGAAUAACUCUUCGAAAGGAGAGCUAAUACCGCAUAAUCCGGUUUACCGGGAAAGGCCUUCGGGUCACAUUAGGAGGAGCCCGCGUCCGAUUAGCUAGUUGGUGAGGUAAUGGCUCACCAAGGCUGCGAUCGGUAGCCGGUCUGAGAGGACGGACGGCCACACUGGGACUGAGACACGGCCCAGACUCCUACGGGAGGCAGCAGUGGGGAAUUUUGGGCAAUGGGCGCAAGCCUGACCCAGCAACGCCGCGUGGAGGAAGAAGGUUUUCGGAUCGUAAACUCCUGUCCCAUGAGACGAAAUAAAUGACGGUAUCAUGGGAGGAAGCCCCGGCUAACUCCGUGCCAGCCGCGGUAAUACGGGGGGGGCAAGCGUUGUUCGGAAUUACUGGGCGUAAAGGGCGCGUAGGCGGUUUCGGAAGUCAAGGGUGAAAGCCCCGAGCUCAACUCGGGAAUUGCCUUUGAAACCACGGAACUAGAGUGUUGGAGAGGAAAGCGGAAUUUCCAGUGUAGCGGUGAAAUGCGUAGAUAUUGGAAGGAACAUCUGAGGCGAAGGCGGCUUUCUGGACAGACACUGACGCUGAGGCGCGAAAGCUAGGGGAGCGAACGGGAUUAGAUACCCCGGUAGUCCUAGCUGUAAACGAUGAACACUUGGUGUGGGGGGUAUAAAGUCCCUCCGUGCCGUAGAUAACUCGAUAAGUGUUCCGCCUGGGGAGUACGGCCGCAAGGCUGAAACUCAAAGGAAUUGACGGGGGCCCGCACAAGCGGUGGAGCAUGUGGUUUAAUUCGACGCAACGCGAAGAACCUUACCGGGGUUUGAACUGUACCGGCGACAUCCAGAGAUGGAUGGUUUCCUCCGGGAACUGGUAUAGAGGUGCUGCAUGGCUGUCGUCAGCUCGUGUCGUGAGAUGUUGGGUUAAGUCCCGCAACGAGCGCAACCCUUGUCUGUAGUUGCCAUCAGGUUAUGCUGGGCACUCUACGGAGACUGUCGGCGAUAAGCCGGAGGAAGGUGGGGAUGACGUCAAGUCCUCAUGGCCUUUAUGUCCCGGGCUACACACGUGCUACAAUGGGUGGAACAGAGGGCAGCGAGCCUGCGAAGGCAAGCGAAUCCCAAAAAUCCAUUCUCAGUUCGGAUUGCAGUCUGUAACUCGACUGCAUGAAGUUGGAAUCGCUAGUAAUCGCGGAUCAGAACGCCGCGGUGAAUACGUUCCCGGGCCUUGUAUACACCGCCCGUCACAUCACGAAAGUGGGCUGUACUAGAAGCCGCCGGCCUAACCUCUUCGGAGGAGGGAGGCGUCGACGGUAUGGUUCAUGAUUGG
rnacentral:rRNA from 1 species